rnacentral:rRNA from 1 species
UACGUAGGUGGCAAGCGUUGUCCGGAUUUACUGGGUGUAAAGGGCGUGUAGGCGGGUUUGCAAGUCAGAUGUGAAAUUCCGGGGCUCAACCCCGGCGCUGCAUCUGAAACUGUGAAUCUUGAGUGCUGGAGAGGAAAGCGGAAUUCCUAGUGUAGCGGUGAAAUGCGUAGAUAUUAGGAGGAACACCAGUGGCGAAGGCGGCUUUCUGGACAGUAACUGACGCUGAGGCGCGAAAGCGUGGGGAGCAAACAGG